rnacentral:rRNA from 1 species
UGACGGCAAGGGACGAAAGCUAGGGGCACGAACCGGAUUAGAUACCCGGGUAGUCCUAGCCGUAAACGAUACUCGCUAGGUGUCGGCCACGGUGUGACCGUGGUCGGUGCCGUAGGGAAGCCGUGAAGCGAGCCACCUGGGAAGUACGGCCGCAAGGCUGAAACUUAAAGGAAUUGGCGGGGGAGCACUACAACGGGUGGAGCUUGCGGUUUAAUUGGAUUCAACGCCGGA